UACGGAGGGGGCUAGCGUUGUUCGGAAUUACUGGGCGUAAAGCGCGCGUAGGCGGACCUGCAAGUCGGGGGUGAAAGCCCGAGGCUCAACCUCGGAACUGCCUUCGAUACUGCGGGUCUCGAGUCCGGGAGAGGUGAGUGGAAUUCCUAGUGUAGAGGUGAAAUUCGUAGAUAUUAGGAAGAACACCAGUGGCGAAGGCGGCGACCUGGUCCAUUACUGACGCUGGAGGCGCGACAGCGUGGGGAGGCAAACAGGG
rnacentral:rRNA from 1 species